rnacentral:rRNA from 1 species
GAUGAACGCUGGCGGCGUGCUUAACACAUGCAAGUCGAACGGAAAGGCCCAAGCUUGCUUGGGUACUCGAGUGGCGAACGGGUGAGUAACACGUGGGUGAUCUGCCCUGCACUUCGGGAUAAGCCUGGGAAACUGGGUCUAAUACCGGAUAGGACGAUGGUUUGGAUGCCAUUGUGGAAAGUUUUUUCGGUGUGGGAUGAGCUCGCGGCCUAUCAGCUUGUUGGUGGGGUAAUGGCCUACCAAGGCGUCGACGGGUAGCCGGCCUGAGAGGGUGUACGGCCACAUUGGGACUGAGAUACGGCCCAGACUCCUACGGGAGGCAGCAGUGGGGAAUAUUGUACAAUGGGCGCAAGCCUGAUGCAGCGACGCCGCGUGGGGGAUGACGGCCUUCGGGUUGUAAACUCCUUUCGCUAGGGACGAAGCGUUUUUGUGACGGUACCUGGAGAAGAAGCACCGGCUAACUACGUG